UACGUAGGGACCAAGCGUUGUUCGGAUUUACUGGGCGUAAAGGGCGCGUAGGCGGCAAUUCAAGUCAGUUGUGAAAUCUCCGAGCUUAACUCGGAACGGUCAACUGAUACUGUUUUGCUAGAGUACAGAAGGGGCAAUCGGAAUUCACGGUGUAGCAGUGAAAUGCGUAGAUAUCGUGAGGAAUACCAGAGGCGAAGGCGGCUACCUGGACAAUUGCUGACGCUCAGGCACGAAAGCGUGGGGAGCAAAAGGG
rnacentral:rRNA from 1 species